rnacentral:tmRNA from 1 species
GGGGCUGAUUCUGGAUUCGACGGGAUUUGCGAAACCCAAGGUGCAUGCCGAGGGGCGGUUGGCCUCGUAAAAAGCCGCAAAAAAUAGUCGCAAACGACGAAAACUACGCUUUAGCAGCUUAAUAACCUGCUUAGAGCCCUCUAUCCCUAGCCUCCGCUCUUAGGACGGGGAUCAAGAGAGGUCAAACCCAAAAGAGAUCGCGUGGAAGCCCUGCCUGGGGUUGAAGCGUUAAAACUUAAUCAGGCUAGUUUGUUAGUGGCGUGUCCGUCCGCAGCUGGCAAGCGAAUGUAAAGACUGACUAAGCAUGUAGUACCGAGGACGUAGGAAUUUCGGACGCGGGUUCAACUCCCGCCAGCUCCACCA